rnacentral:rRNA from 1 species
GUGGGGAAUCUUCCGCAAUGGACGAAAGUCUGACGGAGCAACGCCGCGUGAGUGAAGAAGGUUUUCGGAUCGUAAAGCUCUUUCGUUAGGGACGAACGUGCUCUUUGUGAAUAAUGAGGAGUAAUGACGGUACCUAAAUAAGAAGCCACGGCUAACUACGUGCCAGCAGACGCGGUAAUACGUAGGUGGCAAGCGUUGUCCGGAAUUAUUGGGCGUAAAGCGCGCGCAGGCGGGAUAUCAAGUCUGUCUUAAAAGUGCGAGGCUCAACCUCGUGAGGGGACAGAAACUGGUAUUCUUGAGUGUCGGAGAGGAAAGUGGAAUUCCAAGGGUAGCGGUGAAAUGCGUAGAGAUUUGGAAGAACACCAGUGGCGAAGGCGACUUUCUGGACGAUGUCUGACGCUGAGGCGCGAAAGCUAGGGGAGCGAACGGGAUUAGAUACCCUUGUAGUCC